UACGGGGGGGGCAAGCGUUGUUCGGAAUUACUGGGCGUAAAGGGCUCGUAGGCGGCCAACUAAGUCGGAUGUGAAAUCCCCAAGCUUAACUUGGGAACUGCAUCCGAUACUGGAUGGCUUGAAUCCGGGAGAGGGAUGCAGAAUUCCAGGUGUAGCGGUGAAAUGCGUAGAUAUCUGGAGGAAUACCGGUGGCGAAGGCGGCAUCCUGGACCGGCAUUGACGCUGAGGAGCGAAAGCUAGGGGAGCGAAUGGG
rnacentral:rRNA from 1 species